rnacentral:lncRNA from 1 species
UUAGCCGAUGCGGGUCAAACCAUAUUGUUUUGACCCCAAAAUCCAGAGUGUGAAUGUAAGACCCAUAUAAAACAAGUCUUCGAACUUGUUUGGGCGAAAUCACCACUUGUUCCCGGUUUUCGCCUUUCACGCGAUUAAACCGUAUAUAUUCCUUUGAAACUGACCGGUCUAAGCUACGGCUAUUAUAAAGACCCGUUAGGAUUCUAAUAGGUUGAUAAAACCUUCGUUCCAGAUUAGGAGCCCAGUAAAAGUACUUGCGACUACUGAUUAGAAUAUACGGCUGAGUUAUUAUUCUUGCUAUUUAAGACAGGAGCUAGCUCAGGGGUUAAUGACCAUAUUAAGUGCAGGUGCUAUACGUAAUAGGCUGGCUACUCCAGGCAUCAUUAUUCAAGUCUUGCAAGCUUUAGAUGUCAAAGUCUGUUGAACAAUACUUUUCGAUAUUAUUAUUUGAUCCCCUGUGGAUACCUUUCGACUAUUUGUAAUACAUUUGAUAUUACGAACAAUAGUUGAAUAUAAUUAUCUUUAUGCUUCCGCUGUGCAUUAUUAUAUUGUGUGGUUUGACUAUGAUGUCUCCAACUAUGUCACGGUAAUCCCCACCGGGCCCACCGGUGAUACACGUGGAAAUCGGGGUGUGACAGCUAGCUACCGGCACAACGUGGGGAACGACCAGCACAAUUUAAACGCGUGCCAACACAAGUGGCGCGAGCUACGACCGAAGCUCGACCGUUUUAAAGCCUACUACGAUAGCGUCCUAGACGGUGAUAUAAGUCACGAAGAUAUUGUGGCGGUGGCCAACAUCGAGUUCCUGGGCAAGGAGUGGAAGCCGUUUGACAAGCUUGCCAUGUUCGAAAUCUACCUAACGCUUUAGGCUUUUUUUUAAAUUUUGUAAUCUCUUUUUUUUUAGAAUUUUGUAAUUUUUAGGAACUUUUAACAAUAUAUUUAGGCUUUUUUUUAAUUCUGUUUGUAUUUUUUAAUUUUUGUUUUUUUUUAAUUUUUAUAAAACUGGCCAACCCACGCGGGCUAGCCACGCCUCGCCAUAC